ensembl:lncRNA
UAGACUGCAUCUUAGUCUAUUUCCUGUUUUAUUUUGACAGCUUGUGUCCUGUGUUCAGUUUUGCUUCUUCCUGUGUCAUUAUGUCUUUUCAUCCCAGCUAUGUUACCCGUGUGUUUCCACUUCCCUCGUCAUACCGUUUCCCUUUCGUCAUUGGUGGGUACGUUCCAUGAUCCACCUUUCCUUUGUUAAAGUGUUUAUUGUUUUGUCAUGGUCCCUGUGUAUCUCAGGCCGGCCCCACGAGGCUACAUUUAUUUAUUGUAAUACUGCUCUCUCUCAUGCCUGGGCAGAUCUCACUGCGGGCCUCCACCUUUGGCCCACGCACCAAAGGUGCGUCUCCCUUUCGUUCACUUCCAUCUCAGCUGUGUUGUCUGCAUUUGGGUCCUCACUUAAAACAUAUGAUCUGCCGCCAGUAAUCAUGACACAGCUGGGAAAAGUUGGUUUAGUCAUUUUUGUUCAAAGCACAUCAUGUAAGCCAGCGGUCCCCAACCCCCAGGCCAUGGACCAGUACUGGAAGGGAUAACAGGACUAAUUACUGCCGUCAGCUGAUCCCAUGUGUAAAUAAUGCAGCUUUCCAUUUGUCCAAAAAAAAAAACCCAAAAAAAAAACAAGCAAAACAAAAAGGGUUACUUUCUUUUGUUUGACAUAUUCUCAUGAUGAAAAAUAACUGUAGUAACUGUAAGAAAAUAACUGUUUCCUAACAGUCAUGUUUAUGUGCGAUAAACACCCACUCAGUAGACAUAAUUCAGCUCCACACUCAUUAGUUGUGAUUUCCUGCCUGAGGAAACCAUUGCUGAGACAGCACACAUUUCCUGAAGUUGUGAUCAAGAACCGCUAAGAGGUCUCCAGAAACCACAGACCAUUGGAUGUAGGCCAUCGACUUUGCUCAAAGCCUGCUGGCAGAACUGAUCUGCAAAGUCUGCCAGCAGAGUCAUUUAGGGCCAAAUGACAAUUAAAUUCUCUAAAUUCUCUAUUCUCUCUCAUUACAAUUUUAAUGAAUAAAGUCGUACUGUAAAAGGGAUUUUGUUCUAAAAUUACCUCACUGUUGAAUAAAUACAUCAUUUUUGCCAUUAUUCACUAUCAUGCAGACCAAUGGAAAAGGUCUUUGAGAGACACAAAGGUGAGGUGGUAAAGUUGUUGUCUGGUGACAAGCUACUCCUCAGCUACACGCCAGGAUACAUCCCAAAUAGACCUAUCCAAGUAGUUUUAGUGACUAAAUGAUGUAGAACAAUGUAAAAACAAAAAACAACAAAAAAAAACGUAGACUAACAGAACGGCACACAAAAAACAAUACAGCAAGAGUAAAAUUCUCAUAAAAACCCACAUUAUCAACAGCAUUACUAAUUCUGCCAUAUGCAACUAAUUCAUCGACAGACAGGCCAGACUCUGUCAUGCUGAUAUAUGGGGCCAGCUUAAUGCAAUACAAAAUGUCCUCAUCAGAUACCUCGCAUCUCAUGACACGCCACAGUUCAUUAUUACUGUGUAAGGCACUGGGCCUGCUGGUAUCUCACAGUUUACUACACAGCAGCCAUCACUACAAUUUCCUUCACAGAGUAGCUCUGGGGAAAAUGUCAAUCAAAUUAGGAGGUAUCCACAAGCAAGGAAAUUCCAUAAUUCCAGUUGUUGUUGUUUUGAAUUACGUCUGUUCUCUAUUAUUAUUUUAACAUUUAAAAAAAACCCAUACUGUCUGUUUGUUAGCCACUAGUCAUCCACUUCAAGACUGGGUAUACAUGUUUAACUUCUCAUUAUCACCAAAACAGAAAUAACUAAUCAGGCCAUCACAGCAACUCAGCCCAUGUAUGCACAAGUGGUCAAGACCCAUAGUAUACCACUCCUCUCAGGUAAGAAAAGGAAUCUGAGCCUAUAAUUCACUUACCUAAAUUGGACAGUAAAAGAUUACAGAAACAUUGCCUGGGCUUGUUUUUUCCCCCCACAGAUGUGUGGGUGUUUUUUC